UGGGGAAUAUUGCACAAUGGACGGAAGUUUGAUGCAGCGACGCCGCGUGGAGGGUGUAGGCCUUCGGGUUGUGAACUCCUUUUUCUCGCGAAAAAGGCACAGUUUUGGCUGUGUUGAUGGUAGUGGGGGAAGAAGCGCCGGCUAACUACGUGCCAGCAGCCGCGGUAAUACGUAGGGCGCGAGCGUUGUCCGGAUUUAUUGGGCGUAAAGAGCUCGUAGGUGGUUCGUCGCUUCUGUCGUUAAAGCCAGCAGCUUAACUGUUGGUCUGCGGUGGGUACGGGCGGGCUUGAGUGCGGUAGGGGUGACUGGAAUUCCUGGUGUAGCGGUGGAAUGCGCAGAUAUCAGGAGGAACACCGAUGGCGAAGGCAGGUCACUGGGCCGUUACUGACACUGAGGAGCGAAAGCGUGGGGAGCGAACAGG
rnacentral:rRNA from 1 species